rnacentral:rRNA from 1 species
UACGUAGGGUGCGAGCGUUGUCCGGAAUUAUUGGGCGUAAAGAGCUUGUAGGUGGUUUGUCGCGUCUGCUGUGAAAAUCCGAGGCUCAACCUCGGACUUGCAGUGGGUACGGGCAGACUAGAGUGUGGUAGGGGAGACUGGAAUUCCUGGUGUAGCGGUGGAAUGCGCAGAUAUCAGGAGGAACACCGAUGGCGAAGGCAGGUC